GAUGAACGCUGGCGGCGUGCCUAAUACAUGCAAGUCGAGCGAACAGACGAGGAGCUUGCUCCUCUGACGUUAGCGGCGGACGGGUGAGUAACACGUGGAUAACCUACCUAUAAGACUGGGAUAACUUCGGGAAACCGGAGCUGAUACCGGAUAAUAUAUUGAACCGCAUGGUUCAAUAGUGAAAGACGGUUUUGCGGUCACUUAUAGAUGGAUCCGCGCCGCAUUAGCUAGUUGGUAAGGUAACGGCUUACCAAGGCAACCAUGCGUAGCCGACCUGAGAGGGUGAUCGGCCACACGGGAACGGAGACACGGUCCAGACUCCUACGGGAGGCAGCAGUAGGGAAUCUUCCGCAAUGGGCGAAAGCCUGACGGAGCAACGCCGCGUGAGUGAUGAAGGUCUUCGGAUCGUAAAACUCUGUUAUUAGGGAAGAACAAAUGUGUAAGUAACUAUGCACGUCUUGACGGUACCUAAUCAGAAAGCCACGGCUAACUACGUG
rnacentral:rRNA from 1 species